GAUACAGACCAAUACAAAAACCUCCUUGUUCCGUUCCAUUCUGUGUCACAGCUGUAUCCAACUUGAAUACCAGCAGAAAAGCCUUCAGUGAGAUACUGCAGCCUGAUUAACUCUUCCACAGCUCCCCUGUGUUGUGGGGAAACACCCUUAGAAGUCAGUGUCACGGAAGACGGUGGCCAGGGGAAGCCUUGGUAGCCCAGUGGGUCAGGGCUGAGGGACAAGAGCAGAUUGCUCUAGAGCCAGCACAGAAGCAUGGAUCCCCCCACACACUGAUGACCCCGACCAACUAGCAUCUCCCAAGAUGCCAGUGGGCAGACUGUGAUGACUCAAACUCCAGAAUCACUGGCAGUAUCUCCAGGAGACAGAGUCACCGUCAACUGCAAAGCCAGUUCCAGUGGUAGUAACAAGAUGUCCUGGUACCAACAGAAGUCAGGACAAGCUCCUAAGCUCCUUAUAUAUAGAGCUUCAACCCGUCUCUCUGGGGUCCCAGACCGGUUCAGUGGCAGUGGGUCUGGCACUGACUUCACUUUUACAAUAAGCCGGGUAGAAGCUGAUGAUGCUGGAGAUUAUUAUUGUCAACAAGGCUCCAGUGGGCAGAUUGUGCUGACUCAGACUCCAGAAUCCCUGGCAGUGUUGCCAGGAGACAGAGUUGCUAUCAAUUGCAAAGCCAGUGCAGGCAUUACAAGUGCUUAUACCUACUUAGCCUGGUACCAACAGAAACCAGGACAAGCUCCGAAGCUCCUUAUCUACCAUGCUUCCACACAUGCCACUGGGAUCCCAGACCGGUUCACAGGCAGUGGAUCUGGAACCGAUUUCACUCUCACAAUCAACAACGUUCAAGCUGAAGAUGCUGGAGAUUAUUACUGUCAACAAAGCUAUGACUUAUCUCUCACAGUGAUACAGACCAAUACAAAAACCUCCCUGUUCUCUCUUGGGGAUAUAUAUUGGAAGAAAAUCCAUUGAUUUUGGCUCCUUUGAGGAACAUAUUGAACUCUACAUUCCAUGAAAAACUCUCCAGCUGGGAGCCCACUGGUUAGCUUCUGUGCACUCUAUGAAGUUGUAAACACAUGUACAUGGAAGGAAAUGUGCCAGCCAGCAGCCCUUGUGACUAAUCAGUUAGUUCCCCAGCAUCUUAGCAGAUCUGUGCAGCAAAGGCCUACGGAACAGUCAUGUGCCAUGAAGUCACAGUACUUAGCGCUUCUCUACUGGUCUUCGUGCACUGAUCUCAAAGUGUUCUACAGGGAGACUUACUAUAAGUACAGAUGGGGAAACUGACGCAGAGGUGAAGUAACUUGACCAAGCUCCCCCAAAGACUUCACAGACCUAAUGUAACCUGAAUACCAAGGGGUAGACUGUGAUGACUCAGGCUCCAGAAUCUCUGUCAGUGUCUUCAGGAGACAGAGUCACUAUCAACUGCAAAGCCAGUUGAUAGCAACUAGCAACACUAUAGGCGGC